ensembl:lncRNA
CAGACACAAAGAUGGAAGCGAAGAGCAGAGGAUGCAUUCCUGGGUCUCUAGAUAACCUCAUGGAGCUGUGGGGGUCCUUCCUGUUUUACAGAGAGGAAUAAAAUUCUAUGUUAUUUAAGCUGUGUUAUAUUGGGUCUCUUUGUUACAGCACCUAUACUCAGCUUAUGUAAUGUUAUAGACCAAUGUUGCCUUAAGAAAAAACAAACAAAAAACGUUAGGCUUCUGUCUUGUUCUGGUAAUCUGGGCCUCUACUUGCCUAUAAAUCCCCCCCAUAGCCUAUGCCUGGGUCCUGGCUCCUGCUGACCUACCUCCCCACUGUAGACAACCAUCUUCCUGGAUUUCCGAAUGUCACCCACUCCAGGAUUAUUAUCAAGUGUCCUACUUUGCCUGCCUGUUUGGACACCUUGAUUGCUCUGCGUGGAGCUGCCUAAUGCUGACACUACUGAAGUUUCCUCAUACCGUACCCUCCAGAUGCUAAGCUCCGCCUUCACUGCCCCUUCAGCUAGCUGUGUCUCCCAGGAGUCUGCCCACUCCAGGAGGAAAAUUUGCCUCUAGGUCCUGACUCCUCCUUGUCCACCCUGUCCUGCAGCAAUUAGCCAGACCAUGCCUGGCUAUGUCCUCAGAUGUGUGGGGAAAAGGUUGUCUGGCUCCUGGCAGGAAAUACGCCGUGUAAGUGCCAAGUCUCCCCCGACACCUCCCCUAGCUAACCCCGAAACUGACUAGAAUUUCCACUUGCAGUGUCAAACCAGCAAAGGACUACUCUGGGCUUUGGUAACAGAGAUAAAUUUCAUUGUUUGACGGCUUACACUUAAUGUUUGUUUUCCUUCACACAACUUUACAGUUGAUAACGCAUCAUCAGACACUGAUGUUGGCCUGAGAAUGUGUACUGCUUCAGGAACACAAAUUCCACAUUGGGAAGGUGCACAGGUCUAACCUCAGGUUACGAAUCACCGGGGCUCAUGGUGAGAAAUGCGUGUGAUUAACUCUGAGCUGCCGAAGGAAACUCACCCAGCGUCCUGGAUCAGACAGCACCUAUUUACUUAUGCAAAACAUUAAGACAAAGUCAUUAAAGCCCCCAUUCCUGAUUAUCUCGAAAGACUGCUCUUCUGCCAAAUAUGCUAGCAUACUUUAGGAAAUGCUGGGCUAAUUUCUACCUAACAACUGGUUUGGAUUGAGUUGCCUGCAUUGACCACUAUUAGACUUGUGAUCAAAAUGAAGAAGGAUGAUUCUUAAUUUAGAAGAAAAUAGAAGAUUAAGCCACAGUUGUUCAUCUGUUCAACAAAGUCUGCCCGCUGUGCCGUCUGUGGCUCUCCAAGGGCUGGGGUGUUGAAGAAAACCUGCUGGCUGUGAAACAGAAGGGGAGUUGUUUUAUUUCAUGCCGGUACUUUUCAGGAAAUGAGAGCUCCAGCCAUGUUCCCCUGCCACCCAUCCUUGACUACCGUCCACACCAUAAUCCACCCUCUCCAAAGACCCAUCUGCACACCCAUCUUUGGCUCAUCUCUGCUGUUGUGUCCUAAGCUUCUCCAGAUUUUUCGAUGUGCUGCCUGGAGCUAUGACGCUAAGGACAAGACACUGAAGAAAGUCCUAUUACCUUCUUUUAGAGAACCAAAGAAGGAAAGGGGGUUUGCUUUAUUCCUGCCAAGGGACAGUCAGGUUAGUACUGUCAACCAUCAUGGUGGGAAAAUGGACAUGGACAACCCAGAGAGGCCAGCAGCCGACAGUCUGCAUAACUGAUAGGACCCGGCUGUGGACCCUAGGAGAGUCGAGGAAAGUCUUCCUUCUCCUACACUUUAUCCGGGGCAUCGAUUCCUUACCUUCUAUGCCUGGCUGUCUCCUCCACCACAUGCUUCAUCCUCAGGAUGAGAACUGCUUUAUGAAAACCAGAAGGCUGGAAAGUCUUGUGUACUAACUACUCACGUGAAAAAAGGAAAAAGAAUUCCAACCGAAGAAAGAUGACCCUGAGAGGCUCCUAGCCAGGCUGCCUCAGGCCCCACAUGAGCCUUGCUUCCAGGGGCUGACCCUCUGCCUCCUCCAAGCCAGACCCAGCUCUCCAAAGCGGGUAG